GGACUGCCCUCACACUGAAAUCAGAUGCAUCUGCUUCUUGGUGUCAGGAUGAACCAAACUGGGUGCUGAGGUGAAUAGUUUUUUCAGCUGCUUGCACUUCUUUGGACCAGACAAAAGUAUCAAUUGUGGAGGUAAGGCGAGUGAGUGGCGCUGCUACCUGGCUUUAGUUAUGAAUGAAGUGAGGCAAAACCAAGGAAACACUGAAGAUGCCCUAAAUUUGUUGUCACGAUUUGCAGAGGCGGCAGAUCGUGUGUCGUUUUAGGGAGCAGACAAAGGAAGGAAACAGAAUUCCUAACAAAAGGCGAGCCAUUUAUCAUGACUGGUGGCAAAACUAACAAACAAAAAGGCAAAAGCCAACUGAGAAGGAGCUAAGACAAACUAAACUGGAAAAGCUAAACUAAACACGUGAACAAAGGGAACGUAAAACAUGAAAAUCUGGACACAGAUUCCUGAGACAUGGCGGGAUACAAACAGACGAUCUGACCCAGAAUAAAUGACAACUUACAACAUAAAUACAUAAGAGGGUGACGAGGGAAGAGGUGGGGUGAACACAGCUUGGGUGAAUAAACAAAAUGACAUGGGGAAAGUAAAACAGAACACAAUGAACACGGGAAGGAAUACUACCAAAAUAAUACAGGAAACAUGCAGACUAAGACACACGGACUUGACUCAGGGAACGGGGGCGAAACAGGGGAGAACCAGACUUGGGAACAUAGAAACAUGAACGGGAGACGAAAACACGGAGAGAGACAUGGACAUAACAUAAGGAACAUACACCGAGGACAUGACAAACUCACACAGGAAAUAGGGAAUGAUGCAUCAACAGGAAAACAUGAUAAGUCUAACUAAACUUAAAAGCAUAACCAAGGCUAAACUUCAUACUAAUAGUAAAGGUAAAACUUAAACGUUUCCCCCAAAACAGCAAAAGAAACAAAAUUAUAAAAUAAACUCAAAAUGCUGGGUCAAUGACCCAGAACCCUGACAGGAGUGUUAAACACUCAUCCCCCUCCAUGAUGUGGACCAAAUGGAAGGCAUUACAAAGGUCCGGUUUAGUGAAAUUGGUGUCCCCUUGGAGUGGUUCAGUGAAGGUGAUGAGAGGUGAGGGGUAUUUGUUUUUCACUGUGAUUUCAUUUAAACCUCUGUAAUCAAUACAGGGACACAGCGUCUUAUCUUUUUUUGGCCACAAAGAAGAAACCUGCGCCUACCAGGGAAGAGGAAGGAUGGAUGAUGCCUGCUGCGAAAGACUCUUGAAUAUAUUUUUCCAUAGCCUUCCUCUCAGGCCAUGACAGGCUGUAAAGACGGCUCAAAGGUAGUGGAGUUUCAGAGAGGAUGUCUAUGGCACAGUCAUAGGGCCUGUGAGGGGGGAGUGAUAUAGCUUUAACCUUAGUGAAAACCUCUUGAAGAUCACGAUACUCCUCUAGGACAGAAGACUGAUCCGGAGGUUCAGUGAGUGCCGGAGGCGGGUUGCUUGAGGAGGCGGGUUGCUUGAGGAGGCGGGUUGCUUGAGGAGGCGGGUCGCUUGCAGGCAGUUAGUUUUUCAACCCAUUUGGCCAACCAGCCUCGGCAUGAGGCAACUACAGGUGGGUUGAAUAAUAAUCCUAAAUCGUAGCGCAGAGACACAGGAUAAGCACAAGGGAAAAACUUGUGCUAACCGAGUACAUGAGAGGCAAAAUACCACCAUGAGUAGUAGCAGACGACUUUAAAAGGCUUGUUUAGUCUGUUUAAGUAUAACACUCCUUUAAACCUCUAUUCAGAACACUUGGGUCAAAUCUGUUUUCAAAUGACUCUGUGAUAUAAACAGAGAAACAACAAUACAAAAAAGGAGAAAAUAGACAACAAUCAGAAAAGUCCAGUCUGGAGGUGAAAAGUGAAGCUAACGGGCCACUGAGACAAAGCACAGAGAGACGAGACAGACGUGGACACAAAUGGGGAGACCAAAGGUACACGGAGACACUGAAGACAGAACAUGGAGACGAGAUGAGACAAAGACAGACCCGACACAAAAGGGGAACUGACAAAAUAAAACAGGAAAUCAAGAACUAUAAAUGACAAACUCAGAGGAACUAGAAAAGAACACAUUCAGGAACAAGAACAUAAAAGGUCUCAUACUUAAAAGAACAAAUAACAAGCCCAGAACCACAAUUCAAAGUACUGGGUUAAAGACCCAGGACCAUGACAGGUUUGUUUAUUAUAAAGUUAUUAUUACAAAACAUGUUAUGUGCAUAGCCUGUUGUUACAUGCAAUGACUUUAUUUGGAUCAUUGCAAAGAAAUAUGUUUUGUUUUCUUUUUAUAAGGCAAUGAAGUCAGUGUUUCCACAAAUAUGAACUACAGAUGAAUAUGUUAGUGUUAUAUUUUUAAAACUACAUCCCUAUGCUGCUCCUCCUCUGUUCAUAUAUGAGAAAUGGGAGUGACAGUUCUUGGAAAACAAAAGUAAAAGACAUGCAUCAGGUUUCCAUAUCUGCAGUUGAGCUCUUGGUGUCAUCUGUGUGUUGUCUUUGAAAGCAUGGACAUAGGCUUGGAAGAAAUAUGCAGGGCAGUCCUUGGGUCUGCAGGACCUAAUGGAACUGUGAUUCUGACUCCUGCCAUUGUUGCUGCAUCGGGGUUCACUUCAGCUGGAAUAGCAGGAGGCUCCAUCGCUGCCAAACUGAUGUCAUAUUUAGGUGGCUUUUAAUGUUUAUCUAAAUGUCAAACAUAUGAAAUGUUCUUA